AGAGUUUGAUCAUGGCUCAGAACGAACGCUGGCGGCAGGCUUAACACAUGCAAGUCGAGCGCGUGGCAACACGAGCGGCAGACGGGUGAGUAACGCGUGGGAAUCUACCGGACCCUACGGAAUAACGCAUGGAAACGUGUGCUAAUACCGUAUACGCCCUACGGGGGAAAGAUUUAUCGGGGUUUGAUGAGCCCGCGUUGGAUUAGCUAGUUGGUGGGGUAAAGGCCUACCAAGGCGACGAUCCAUAGCUGGUCUGAGAGGAUGAUCAGCCACAUUGGGACUGAGACACGGCCCAAACUCCUACGGGAGGCAGCAGUGGGGAAUAUUGGACAAUGGGCGCAAGCCUGAUCCAGCCAUGCCGCGUGAGUGAUGAAGGCCCUAGGGUUGUAAAGCUCUUUCACCGGAGAAGAUAAUGACGGUAUCCGGAGAAGAAGCCCCGGCUAACUUCGUGCCAGCAGCCGCGGUAAUACGAAGGGGGCUAGCGUUGUUCGGAAUUACUGGGCGUAAAGCGCACGUAGGCGGACAUUUAAGUCAGGGGUGAAAUCCCGGAGCUCAACUCCGGAACUGCCUUUGAUACUGGGUGUCUUGAGUGUGGAAGAGGUGAGUGGAAUUCCGAGUGUAGAGGUGAAAUUCGUAGAUAUUCGGAGGAACACCAGUGGCGAAGGCGGCUCACUGGUCCAUUACUGACGCUGAGGUGCGAAAGCGUGGGGAGCAAACAGGAUUAGAUACCCUAGUAGUCC
rnacentral:rRNA from 1 species